rnacentral:rRNA from 1 species
UACGUAGGGUGCGAGCGUUGUCCGGAAUUAUUGGGCGUAAAGAGCUUGUAGGUGGUUUGUCGCGUCUGCUGUGAAAACUCGGGGCUUAACUCCGGGCCUGCAGUGGGUACGGGCAGACUAGAGUGCGGUAGGGGAGACUGGAAUUCCUGGUGUAGCGGUGAAAUGCGCAGAUAUCAGGAGGAACACCGGUGGCGAAGGCGGGUCUCUGGGCCGUAACUGACGCUGAGGAGCGAAAGCGUGGGGAGCGAACAGG